UGAUCAAAUGUGGAGGGAGAAAAAUUGUGAAAAGUUAUAUAUUUAGGCUAAAAACAUGGCCAAGUCAGGGGACACAGUGGUUCCUGCUGAUGAAAGUGAUAAUUUGUUAAUAAGACCUUUGUAAGUCAAUCGAAGAUGUAGGGGCUCAGGACAAGAAGUUGGAAGGUCAUGUCAUUUGUUGGAAUUUAAAGGGAAAAAGAUAAUGCUUGACUGUGGAAUACAUCCUGGUCUGAAUGGUUUCGCCUCACUCCCUUUCUUAGAUCUCGUGGAAGUGGCAGAAGUAGAUCUACUCCUGAUCAGCCAUUUUCAUCUUGACCACUGUGGUGCUUUGCCCUACUUUCUGGAGAAAACACAGUUUAAAGGACGAUGUUUCAUGACUCAUGCAUCCAAAGCUAUCUACAGAUGGCUUCUGUCAGAUUACGUUAAAGUCAGUAAUAUUGCCACAGAAGAUAUGCUUUAUACGGAAAGUGAUAUAGAAAACAGCAUGGAUAAAAUAGAAACAAUCAAUUUUCACCAGGAAGUAGAAGUGAAUGGCAUAAAGUUCUGGUGUUACACCGCCGGCCACGUACUGGGGGCGGCUAUGUUUAUGAUAGAGAUUGCGGGAGUCAGGGUUUUAUACACAGGAGACUUCUCCCGACAGGAAGACAGACAUUUAAUGGCUGCAGAGAUUCCCAGAAUUCACCCAGACGUUGUGAUCAUUGAGUCUACAUAUGGUACUCACAUCCAUGAGAAGAGAGAAGAUCGGGAAGCUAGGUUUACUGGACUAGUCCAUGACAUUGUUAGUAGGGGUGGCAGGUGUCUGAUUCCUGUGUUUGCCCUUGGAAGAGCCCAAGAGUUACUACUCAUACUAGACGAGUAUUGGAGCAAUCACCCAGAACUACACGAUAUACCAAUCUACUACGCCUCCUCCCUGGCAAAGAAAUGUAUGAGUGUGUAUCAGACUUAUAUUAAUGCCAUGAAUGAGAAGAUCCGCAGACAAAUCAACAUCAGUAACCCCUUUGUGUUCAAGCAUAUAUCAAAUCUCAAGAGUAUGGAGCACUUUGAGGACAUAGGUCCAUCCGUGGUACUGGCCAGCCCUGGGAUGAUGCAGAGUGGGCUAUCCAGAGAGCUGUUUGAAAGCUGGUGCACAGACAAGAGAAAUGGGUGCAUUAUAGCGGGGUACUGUGUAGAGGGGACACUAGCUAAGCACAUUCUGUCUGAGCCUGACGAGAUAAUGACAAUGACUGGACAGAAGCUGCCUCUGAAGUGUUCCGUGGAUUAUAUAUCAUUCUCCGCUCACACAGACUACAAACAAACCAGCGAAUUUCUUCGUGCUCUCAAACCAGCUCAUGUAGUGCUUGUUCAUGGAGAACAAAACGAAAUGUCCCGCCUAAAGGCAGCUUUGAUCAGAGAAUACGAGGAUGAUACAGAGUAUCAAAUGAAUGUUCACAAUCCCAAAAACACAGUGGCUGUGGAACUCCACUUCAGGGGAGAAAAAAUGGCAAAGGUUGUAGGAAGUCUAGCAGCAGAAAAACCAAAACAGGAUCAACGAAUCUCAGGGAUACUGGUGAAACGGAACUUUAACUAUCACAUAGUGGCCCCCGCUGAUCUAUCAAAUUACACUGACCUUGCGAUGAGCACUGUGACCCAGAGACUGAGUAUUGCGUACACAGGGACUGUGGCCCUGCUCAAGUACUAUCUGACUCAGCUCUCCUCCGACAUCGAACAUAUCGAGAAAGCCGACAAACCCACACUCAGGAUCUUCAAGUCUGUCUUCCUCAUCAUCGAACCCAAGAUGGUCGUUAUUGAGUGGAUAGCCAACCCAGUGACGGACAUGUACGCUGAUGCUGUGGUGACUGUUGUAUUGAGAGCUGAAAGUGAUCCUAUGCCUCAAAAAAGCGUACCACCGCCCCUGUUAGUUGACAAAUCGCACGUACAGGAAUGUUUGCUGGAGAUGUUAACGGACAUGUUUGGUAGCGAGGGAAUCAGUAAGAUGAUCCGCAACAACAUGGUGACGGUCACCGUGGACGAGAAGAUCGCUACGGUCAAUGUGGACUCGCUGGAGGUGAGAUGUGAUGACGAGGAGUUACAGCAAGUGUUGCUGACAGCCAUCAAAAAUCUGUACCAGGCCAUCGCCCCGGUCAAACAGGCGGGGUGAGGCCGGGACCCCUCUGUCAGCUAGACCAAACAAAUUCGUCCCAGAGCAGGCUCUCUGUGACCCCCAGAAACCACUGUUUCAAAAAUGUGGAACUCUUGCCUGUUGAUCCAAACAUUCUGUGACAAGUUCUCCUGUGAAUAAGGCAGCUUGGAGUAGUGAGACAGUGACAGUGAUGCUGUGUAUUUGUUGUUUAUUGCAGGGAUUCCUGCAAUGUUUUGUUAUUUCAGAUUUUUAGUUGAUGAACAUGAUGUAAUAAAUACUUGUAAUUAAUGUCUC
rnacentral:misc_RNA from 1 species